AACAUUCAACAUUCGAUUGCAAUAUUCAACAUUCAAAAUUUUUUUGUUUUUUCUCGUAUCCAUUUUCAACAUUCAAUUUUAUUUUUUUUUUCUUCUCGUAUCCAUUUUCAACAUUCAACAUUCGAUUUCAACAUUCAACAUUCGAUUUCAACAUUCAACAUUCGAUUUCAACCUUCAACAUUCGAUUUCAACAUUCAACAUUCGAUUUCAACAUUCAACAUUCGAUUUUAACAUUCGAUUUUCAACUUUCAACAUUCGUUUUCAACAUUCA
rnacentral:lncRNA from 1 species